rnacentral:sRNA from 1 species
UGAUGGAGAUUACCUUUGGGUGCUGGGCUGUGCUGUGGAGCUCCCUGAUGUCAGCUGCAAGCGGUUUCUGGAUCAGCUAAUUGGAUUCUUUAAUUUUUACAAUGGACCUGUUUCCCUAGCUUAUGGGAAUUGUUCUCAGGAAGAACUGAGCACGGAGUGGGACACCUUCAUCGAACAAAUUCUGAAAAACACCAGUGAUCUGCAUAAGAUUUUCAAUUCCCUCUGGAACUUGGACCAAACUAAAUCAUGGAACCUGGUCAGACAUCAAGCCACCUGUAUCACCAUGGGGAUUGUGCUUCAGAAGGAAGGUGGAGGAUAGGGUGGAGCCCCUGUUGUUGCUGAAGGCAGCCCGCAUUCUGCAGACCUGCCAGCGCUCGCCUCACAUUCUUGCUGGCUGCAUCCUCUAUAAAGGACUGAUUGUCAGCACCCAGCUCCCGCCCUCCCUCACCGCCAAGGUCCUGCUUCACCGAACAGCACCUCAGGAGCAGAGACUCCCUACGGGAGGGGAUGCCCCGCAGGAACAUGGAGCGGCAUUGCCCCCGAAUGUCCAGAUUAU